rnacentral:rRNA from 1 species
GAAUCUUCCGCAAUGGACGAAAGUCUGACGGAGCAACGCCGCGUGAGUGAAGAAGGUUUUCGGAUCGUAAAACUCUGUUGUCGGAGAAGAACAAGAAGGAGAGUAACUGUUCCUACCUUGACGGUACCCGACCAGACAGCCACGGCUAACUACGUGCCAGCAGCCUCGGUAAUAAGUAGGUGGCAAGCGUGUUCCGGCGUUGUUGGGCGUAAAGCGAGCGCAGGUGGUUACUUAAGGCUGAUGUGAAAGCCCACGGCUCAACCGUGGAAGGUCAUUGGAAACUGGGGAACUUGAAUGCAGAAGAGGAGAGUGGAAUUCCAUGUGUAGCGGUGAAAUGCGUAGAUAUAUGGAGGAACACCAGUGGCGAAGGCGACUCUCUGGUCUGUUAUUGACACUGAGGCUCGAAAGCGUGGGGAGCAAACA